rnacentral:rRNA from 1 species
CCUACGGGUGGCAGCAGUGAGGAAUAUUGGUCAAUGGACGCUAGCCUGAACCAGCCAAGUAGCGUGAAGGAUGACUGCCCUAUGGGUUGUAAACUUCUUUUAUAUGGGAAUAAAAUGCAGUAUGUAUACUGCUUUGCAUGUACCUUAUGAAUAAGGAUCGGCUAACUCCGUGCCAGCAGCCGCGGUAAUACGGAGGAUCCGAGCGUUAUCCGGAUUUAUUGGGUUUAAAGGGAGCGUAGGAGGAUUGUUAAGUCAGUUGUGAAAGUUUGCGGCUCAACCGUAAAAUUGCAGUUGAUACUGGCAGCCUUGAGUACAGUAGAGGUAGGCGGAAUUCGUGGUGUAGCGGUGAAAUGCUUAGAUAUCACGAAGAACUCCGAUUGCGAAGGCAGUUCGCUGGACUGUAACUGACGCUGAGGCUCGAAAGUGUGGGUAUCAAACAGGAUUAGAUACCCGGGUAGUC